rfam:Ovis aries breed Texel chromosome 8, whole genome shotgun sequence.
UCCCCGGUGGUCCAACGGUCAGGACACCAUGCUUUUACUGCCAAGGGCCCAGGUUCAAUCCCUGGUCGAGGAA